rnacentral:lncRNA from 1 species
GCGACUCUUCUGGCUCAUGUUGUGGUUGGGUGUUUUACUCCGGUCAACCUGUAGAGAAGGAUACGGUGAAAAAAUUACACAUAAUAGGAAUCAGGAAGGGCCUUAUUGGAGGCAUUUUGUAAAAUUUCCCACGGCGGCUUCGCCAGCAUUUUUUGGCUAAUUGGCUUGUCUUUUUGCUUUGAUUUGACCAUGGGUGAGCUUAAAAUUGAAUUCCGAG